rnacentral:lncRNA from 1 species
CAUACCUCUGUGGAUUAUCAUGGAAAGAGAGUGAAUUUUCAAAUACCGGAUGAAUUAGUAUUCAGUUUUGAUGGAAAUACAGAAAUCAUCCCUUCACAUAUCAUUUCAUUUGUGCAAGCCAGACAGAUGUUAAGAAAGGGAUGUAAAGGUUAUCUAGUUUCAAUUACAGGAUAUUACUGUUGUGAAUGAAUUUUUGGAUGUAUUCAUUGAUGAUUUACUCGGACU